UGGGGAAUUUUGGACAAUGGGGGCAACCCUGAUCCAGCAAUGCCGCGUGUGUGAAGAAGGCCUUCGGGUUGUAAAGCACUUUUGUCCGGAAAGAAAUCGCCUGGGUUAAUACCCUGGGUGGAUGACGGUACUGGAAGAAUAAGCACCGGCUAACUACGUGCCAGCAGCCGCGGUAAUACGUAGGGUGCGAGCGUUAAUCGGAAUUACUGGGCGUAAAGCGUGCGCAGGCGGUUGUGCAAGACAGAUGUGAAAUCCCCGGGNUUAAACCUGGGAAUGGCAUUUGUGACUGCACGGCUAGAGUGUGUCAGAGGGGGGUAGAAUUCCACGUGUAGCAGUGAAAUGCGUAGAUAUGUGGAGGAACACCGAUGGCGAAGGCAGCCCCCUGGGAUAACACUGACGCUCAUGCACGAAAGCGU
rnacentral:rRNA from 1 species